AAACCAACAGGGAUUGCCCUAGUAACGGCGAGUGAAGCGGCAACAGCUCAAAUUUGAAAUCUGGCCCUCGGGUCCGAGUUGUAAUUUGUAGAGGAUGCUUUUGGCGCGGUGCCUUCCGAGUUCCCUGGAACGGGACGCCUUAGAGGGUGAGAGCCCCGUACGGUUGGACACCAAGCCUCUGUAAAGCUCCUUCGACGAGUCGAGUAGCUUGGGAAUGCUGCUCUAAAUGGGAGGUAAAUUUCUUCUAAAGCUAAAUAUUGGCCAGAGACCGAUAGCGCACAAGUAGAGUGAUCGAAAGAUGAAAAGCACUUUGAAAAGAGGGUUAAACAGCACGUGAAAUUGUUGAAAGGGAAGCGUUUGCGACCAGACCUUUUCCUAGCGGAUCAUCCGGUGUUCUCACCGGUGCACUUCGCUAGGUCUAGGCCAGCAUCGGUUUCUGUAGGGGGAUAAAAGCUCUGGGAACGUAGCUCCUCCGGGAGUGUUAUAGCCCUCUGCAUAAUACCUUUACGGGGACCGAGGACCGCGCUUCGGCAAGGAUGCUGGCGUAAUGGUCGUCAACGAC
rnacentral:rRNA from 2 species